rnacentral:rRNA from 1 species
UACGUAGGGGGCAAGCGUUGUCCGGAAUCAUUGGGCGUAAAGCGCGUGUAGGCGGCUUGGUAAGUCCGUUCUGAAAGCCCGGGGCUCAACCCCGGGAGGCGGAUGGAUACUGCUGAGCUCGAGUCCGGAAGAGGCGAGUGGAAUUCCUGGUGUAGCGGUGGAAUGCGCAGAUAUCAGGAGGAACACCGAUGGCGAAGGCAGUUCUCUGGGCCGUAACUGACGCUGAGGAGCGAAAGCGUGGGGAGCGAACAGG